rnacentral:rRNA from 1 species
GAUGAACGCUGGCGGCGUGCCUAAUACAUGCAAGUCGAGCGAAUGGAUUAAGAGCUUGCUCUUAUGAAGUUAGCGGCGGACGGGUGAGUAACACGUGGGUAACCUGCCCAUAAGACUGGGAUAACUCCAGGAAACCGGGGCUAAUACCGGAUAACAUUUUGAACCGCAUGGUUCGAAAUUGAAAGGCGGCUUCGGCUGUCACUUAUGGAUGGAACCGCGUCGCAUUAGCUAGUUGGUGAGGUAACGGCUCACCAAGGCAACGAUGCGUAGCCGACCUGAGAGGGUGAUCGGCCACACUGGGACUGAGACACGGCCCAGACUCCUACGGGAGGCAGCAGCAGGGAAUCUUCCGCAAUGGACGAAAGUCUGACGGAGCAACGCCGCGUGAGUGAUGAAGGCUUUCGGGUCGUAAAACUCUGUUGUUAGGGAAGAACAAGUGCUAGUUGAAUAAGCUGGCACCUUGACGGUACCUAACCAGAAAGCCACGGCUAACUACGUGCCAGCAGCCGCCGUAA